rnacentral:tRNA from 1 species
ACAACAGUGGCACAAUGGUUAAGUGCUUGGCUGCUAAUCAAAAUGUUGGUGGUUUGAACCCACCCAGUGGCU